AUUCGACUUAAGUAGAACUAUAUUUCUCGAAUUUCUAAAAAAAUAUAUUAAUUCGUUUAUGUUUAUUUAUUAAUAUAUAUGCUUAGAGUUAUUCCUUUUAGUAUUUUUUAUAAGGUGCAUAUAUAUAUCUUUUUUUUUUUUUUUUUUUUGCACGUUAUACCCUUUUAUUUACCUAUCCAUUUGUGUACUUACUAGUGUUACAAUUUUUCGAUGUUUUUUUUUUUUAUACGUUUUUUUAUCUCGAUCUAAAUUAGAUCUAAAUAUAAUUUUAAAUGGUUAACCAUAAUUAGCAAUACUUGGAAUACCAUUGUAUAAGCCACUUUUUUUUUUUUUUUUUUUUUUUUUUUUUUGUCUUACCAUCCCCUGUAUAAUUAAAAUGAACGCAAAACAGUUCCCCAUAAAAAAGAAUAGUUGCGAAAAGGAUAUUAUAAAUGCACUUAAGUGGAAAAUCAAAGAAAAAAAGAAAGAAUACGCAAGGUUUCGUUUUUUACAAGGUAAUCAUAUUGAGAAGAAAGGAGAGGGGAAUGACAAUAUUUUCAUGGCUAGUAAAAAAAACAACAAUAAUAAUAACAAUAAUAAUAACAAUAAUAAUAACAAUAAUAAUAACAAUAAUAAUAACAAUAAUAAUGACAAUAAUAAUAAUAAUGAUGAUAAUAAUGAUGAUAAUGAUGAUGAUAGUAAGUGUGUUGAAUCAUCAAAGAUUGUUUAUGUAUAUACAUGUAAUAGUGAUAACAAAUAUGUUUUAAAUAUAGAUGAUGACGAUGACAGUGAUGGAUAUAGACAUUUUCAAAAAUUAAACAAUAGAUUUGUUGAUAAUUUAAGAAGAGUUAAAAAUGGAAAGAGUAUUAAACAAAAUAAUAAAUUUGAAAAAGAGGAAAGGAUACAUAUACCUUUAAAUAUAUUAACAAAUAGAUAUGAUUGUUGGGAUGUGUUACAAGCAACUAAUAAUCUGGCAGAAGAAAAUAGAUUAGGUACUGGAGGUAAUGGUGUAGUAUAUAAAGGUUUACUAAAAGGAUGUAUUCCUGUUGCUGUAAAAGUUUUAAAAAGAAAUGAAAAUAAUGGUUUUGAAAAUGAAAUGAUAAUUAUGAGUAGGUAUAGACAUAAAAAUAUUUUAUCGUUAUUAGGUUAUGCUAAAGAUCGUAUUAAUUUUUAUUUAAUAUUUGAAUAUAUUAUUUUAGGAGAUUUAAGAACUCUUUUAUAUAAUCAUCAUUAUUUUUACAAAACAAAAAAUAAUUAUAAUGCUUCUGCAUCAUUUUUUAAUUCAUGUUCUAUUUCAAAUCAAAAACAGUCUUGUUUUUGUCAGUCCCAUUACGGUUUAAUGAAUAGCAAUAAACAGCCUUUUAUUCUGAAUAAUAGGAAUAUCGGUACUAAUGGCGUCAAAUUUUACAAUACUUGUGGUAGUAGCAAACAUAAAAAUCUGAAUUUAACCUGUAUAAAUCAUUUAAGAAAUAUGAAUAAUCCUAGUCAACAAGAAACACAACAUGGUAAUCAAAUAACUCCCCCAUAUUUAUCUUCUAGUACUAGAAUUAAUAUAUUAACACAAGUAAUAAAUGCUUUGUGUUAUUUACAUACUUCGAAUCCUGUAGUAUAUCAUAGAGACUUAAAAUCAGCAAACAUUUUAAUUGAUGAUAAGUUUAAUGUCAAAUUAGGAGAUUUUGGUUUAUCUUUUAUUUAUAUAAAAAACAAUAACGUGUUUAACCUGACUGGU
ensembl:lncRNA